GUAUAGAUACCCGUACCGCAAACCGACACAGGUGGUCGAGGAGAGAAUCCUAAGGUGCUCGAGUGAAUCAUGGCUAAGGAACUCGGCAAAAUGGCCCUGUAACUUCGGGAGAAGGGGCGCCCCCUGUGAGGGGGGCCGCAGUGAAGAGGCCCAGGCGACUGUUUAACAAAAACACAUGGCUUUGCAAAGUUUAACGACUAAGUAUAAGGCCUGACACCUGCCCGGUGCUGGAAGGUUAAGAGGGGAUGUUAGCGUAAGCGAAGCAUUGAAUCGAAGCCCCAGUAAACGGCGGCCGUAGCUAUAACGGUCCUAAGGUAGCGAAAUUCCUUGUCGGGUAAGUUCCGACCUGCACGAAUGGUGUAACGAUCUGGGCGCUGUCUCAGCCAUGAGCUCGGUGAAAUUGUAGUCACGGUGAAGAUGCCGUGUACCCGCAACGGGACGGAAAGACCCCAUGCACCUUUACUGCAGCUUAGUAUUGGUACUGGGCAAACGAUGUGUAGGAUAGGUGGGAGACUGUGAGCUGGGUCCGCUAGGAUUUGGGGAGUCGCCGUUGAAAUACCACCCUUUGUUUGCUUGGUAUCUAACCCGCCGUGGCGGGGACAUUGCUUGGUGGGUAGUUUGACUGGGGUGGUCGCCUCCAAAAGGAUAACGGAGGCUUCCAAAGGUUCCCUCAGUACGCUUGGUAACCGUACGAGGAGUGCAAUAGCAUAAGGGAGCUUGACUGUAAGGCCGACAAGCCGAGCAGGGUGGAAACACGGGUAUAGUGAUCCGGCGGUUCUGAAUGUAAGGGCCGUCGCUCAAAGGAUAAAAGGUACGCUGGGAUAACAGGCUGAUCUCCCCCAAGAGCUCAUAUCGACGGGGAGGUUUGGCACCUCGAUGUCGGCUCGUCACAUCCUGGGGCUGGAGAAGGUCCCAAGGGUUCGGCUGUUCGCCGAUUAAAGUGGCACGCGAGCUGGGUUCAGAACGUCGUGAGACAGUUCGGUCCCUAUCUGUUGCGGGCGUGGGAAGUUUGCGAGGACCUGACCUUAGUACGAGAGGACCGGGUUGGACUGACCGCUGGUGUACCGGUUGUGGUGCCAACUGCAUUGCCGGGUAGCUACGUCGGGACGAGAUAAGCGCUGAAAGCAUCUAAGUGCGAAACUCACCUCAAGAUGAGACUUCCAUAUAGGGCCCUAGGAGACUACUAGGUUGAUAGGCUGCAGGUGUAAAGUCAGUAAUGGCAUAGCUGAGCAGUACUAAUUGCACAA
rnacentral:rRNA from 1 species